GACGAACGCUGGCGGCGUGCUUAACACAUGCAAGUCGAACGGAAAGGCCCUGCUUUUGUGGGGUGCUCGAGUGGCGAACGGGUGAGUAACACGUGAGUAACCUGCCCUUGACUUUGGGAUAACUUCAGGAAACUGGGGCUAAUACCGGAUAGGAGCUCCUGCUGCAUGGUGGGGGUUGGAAAGUUUCGGCGGUUGGGGAUGGACUCGCGGCUUAUCGGCUUGUUGGUGGGGUAGUGGCUUACCAAGGCUUUGACGGGUAGCCGGCCUGAGAGGGUGACCGGCCCCAUUGGGACUGAUAUACGGCCCAGACUCCUACGGGAGGCAGCAGUGGGGUAUAUUGCACAAGGGGCGGAAGCAUGAUGCAGCAACGCCGCGUGCGGGAUGACGGCCUUCGGGUUGUAAACCGCUUUCGCCUGUGACGAAGCGUGAGUGACGGUAAUGGGUAAAGAAGCACCGGCUAACUACGUG
rnacentral:rRNA from 1 species